rnacentral:rRNA from 1 species
AUUGAACGCUGGCGGCAGGCCUAACACAUGCAAGUCGAACGCGUGGCGGACGGGUGAGUAAUGUCUGGGAAACUGCCUUAUGGAGGGGGAUAACUACUGGAAACGGUAGCUAAUACCGCAUACCAUCAGAUGUGCCCAGAUGGGAUUAGCUUGUUGGUGGGGUAACGGCUCACCAAGGCGACGAUCCCUCGCUGGUCUGAGAGGAUGACCCGCUACACUGAAACUGAGACACGAUCCGAACUCCUACGGUAGGCAGCAGUGGGGAAUAUUGCACAAUGGGCGCAAGCCUGAUGCAGCCAUGCCGCGUGUAUGAAGAAGGCCUUCGGGUUGUAAAGUACUUUCAGCGGGGAGGCGUUACCCGAAGAAGAAGCACCGGCUAACUCCGUGCCAGCCGCCGCGGUAAUUC